rnacentral:tRNA from 1 species
GGCCCUAUCGUCUAACGGCUAGGACACGGGCUUCUCAAGCCUGUAAUCGGGGUUCGAUUCCCCGUAGGGUCACCA